GUUCCCUCUCCCAGCCGGUGCUGACUCAGCUGCCCUCCCUUUCUGCAUCUCCUGGAGCAUCUGCCAGACUCACCUGCACCCUGAGCAGUGGUUUUAGUGUUUGUAGUUACAGGAUAGAUUCGUACCAGGAGAAUCCAGAGAGCCCUCCCCGCUAUCUCCUGAGCUACCACACAGACUCAGACCAACACCAGGGCUCCGGGGUCCCCAGCCGCUUCUCUGGAUCCAAGGACACCUCAGCCAAUGCUGGAGUUCUGCACAUCUCCGGGCUGCAGCCUGAGGACGACACCGACUAUCACUGUGCGACUUAUCACGGCAGCUCUAGUACUCACACAGGGCUCCAGACCACGGGGA